UGGGGAAUAUUGCACAAUGGGCGAAAGCCUGAUGCAGCGACGCCGCGUGAGGGAUGACGGCCUUCGGGUUGUAAACCUCUUUCAGCAGGGAAGAAGCGAAAGUGACGGUACCUGCAGAAGAAGCGCCGGCUAACUACGUGCCAGCAGCCGCGGUAAUACGUAGGGCGCAAGCGUUGUCCGGAAUUAUUGGGCGUAAAGAGCUCGUAGGCGGUUAGUCGCGUCUGCUGUGAAAACUCGAGGCUCAACCUCGGGCUUGCAGUGGGUACGGGCUGACUAGAGUGCGGUAGGGGUGACUGGAAUUCCUGGUGUAGCGGUGGAAUGCGCAGAUAUCAGGAGGAACACCGAUGGCGAAGGCAGGUCACUGGGCCGCAACUGACGCUGAGGAGCGAAAGCAUGGGGAGCGAACAGGAUUAGAUACCCUGGUAGUCCAUGCCGUAAACGUUGGGCACUAGGUGUGGGGUCCA
rnacentral:rRNA from 1 species